CCCCAAAAUGUCCCCAAAGUGUCCCCAAGCUGUCCCCAGGUGUCCCCAGGUGUGUCACAGGUGUCCCCAAGCUGUCCCCAGGUGUCCCCAAAUGUCCCCAAGGUGUCCCCAGGUGUCCCCAAGGUGUCCCCAGGUGCCCCCAAAGUCUCCUCAAGGUGUCCCCAAAUGUCUCCAAAAUGUCCC